GGACGGGUUAGUAACACGUGAGAUACAUACCCUUUAGACAGGAAUAGCCCAUGGAAACGUGGAAUAAUACCCUGAUAGUUCCUACGGGAUAAAGGAUGCCCUUCGGGUGUCGCUAAAGGAUUGGCUCGCGGCCUAUCAGUUUGUUGGUGAGGUAAAGGCUCACCAAGACUACGACGGGUAGCUGGUCUGAGAGGACGAUCAGCAACACUGGAACUGAGACACGGUCCAGACACCUACGGGUGGCAGCAGUCGAGAAUCAUUCACAAUGGAGGCAACUCUGAUGGUGCAACGCCGCGUGGAGGAUGACGGUCCUAGGAUUGUAAACUCCUGUCAUUGGGGAGUAAGACUUAUUCGUUAAUAGCGUGUAAGUUUGAUAGUACCCAAAGAGGAAGGGACGGCUAACUUCGUGCCAGCAGCCGCGGUAAUACGAAGGUCCCAAGCGUUGUUCGGAAUAACUGGGCGUAAAGCGUGUGUAGGCUGCGCGGAAAGUCAAAUGUGAAAGCCAGGGGCUCAACCUCUGAACUGCAUUCGAUACUCCCGUGCUAGAGUAAUGGAGAGGUAAGUGGAAUUCCCGGUGUAGCAGUGAAAUGCGUGGAUAUCGGGAGGAACAUCAAUGGCGAAGGCAACUUACUGGACAUUUACUGACGCUCAGACACGAAGGCUAGGGUAGCGAAAGGGAUUAGAUACCCCUGUAGUC
rnacentral:rRNA from 1 species